UAAAUGAAGCUGUUGCCAACUGGGUCUUCUCAAUGUGGAUAACAUGAUAACAUGUGUCCGACCAUUCUUUCUUAUCUCUUACCCAGGUGACUAAUAAUGCUAUUUGGUAUUGUAUUAGAAUGUAUAUUUGAUCAAAUAGCUAAUACAUCGAGUUAGUCUUCUGUUUCCCUUCACUUCUAAUUUAUAAAUCAUAUGUAGGUUCUUGUGGCAUACACCUAGUCAUUUGUGCAUAGCUAAAGCUUGGAUGCAAAUUAACAUUAAACCUCCAGAUGGCACCAGAGAACAGAGAUAAAAACCAUAAUAGCAUUUUUUUUUUUUUCAAUGAGCCUUUGUCUUGUUCCUAAGAGGCAGGUUGACUGAGGGAAAUGGCUCCUUGUCACUCAGCUAACCUUCAAGGAAGAGGAGUGCCUGACUACACACUUUGCAAAUGUCCAGAUGCUGUUAGAGACACUUGACGGUGGAAUUUUGUGAUGCAAACUCACAGGUCUUGCAUUUGUGCACAGCUAUUUGAGAGUCAAGAGGGUGGUCCUUUCGACUGUCUCCAGCACAAAGUGCCGAGAGAGAGAGACAGAUGUGCUACUGCAGAACCCAUCGCUAAAGCUUUUGUUGCUGGACAAUCCGAUACACACAGAUACCUGCAGGAAAACAGGAAUCUGAAGGGGUGACAGGGUCCUUGGCGUUCUCAUUUACAACAGCAUUCCUGUAAGGGACUCUUGUUAAACCUAAAAGAAACAAAGAAACAAACAAGCCAUGCUGAAAAAAAUGAUAGUAGCUAUCAAACCAAGUACGAAGAGUUGGAGAGAGGAGUCCCCAAAUACAUGGUGAAAUGCAUCCUAUUGUAAUAUAACGAGAGAUGUACUAUCCUCGACACGAAUGAACAGAAAGCAAUGAGAGGUCCAUCCAGCUGGCAGAGUGGGUAAGGUUGUAACUGACAGCCAAUACUCACCUCCCCUCCUUCAGCCAGUUAUGGAUUUAUCUUUUAGACACAGAUCUAAAGAAGCUUCUCACUCAAGCAUUGUGAGUAUCCCUCAGCACGCCCCGGGGCCAGUCCCAACAUCCCCAUCCACAAUGGCCACAACACUGCUAAUCCUUAAAUCAUGGCUUAGCACUGUAACACAGAGACAUCUGCUGGGCGGGAGUCCAGGGUGCGAGUUGGAACCCCAAGUGCUGUUUUCCUGGAUAAUCUCAUGUCACCUCUCCAGGCAUCUUUGCUUGAACUGCCACCCACUGGGUGAGGUCUCACCCACCAUCCUCUCUAACGUGAUUUUCUCUCGCCUAUUGUCACGUUUUUCCACUGAUUUCCAUUUAGCACUUAUCAAAAUAAAAUCACUUCAUUUUACACUCCUUUGUCUGCCUCCCCUGCCUGCAGCUAUUGUUGAAGCAAGCAGGACCCUCUUUGGUCUGCCUCCUCCUGCAUCUCUACCUUUGAGUACAGUGUGCUGUACAUUGUAAAUGGCUUUGUAAAACUGAACAAAUGACUGAAUGGUGGCUGAGAGGCUGCUGGUCCAUCCCUCUAUUUCCUUCUGGUUAUGAAAUUUGAUUAAAAACAUCACAUUUAGGAUCAAAGCUAUUAUGGGAGACUAUUAAGUCAACAUAAAUAACUAAAAUGUGCCUGAAGAAAAAACAAGAGAUUGUAGAUACAGAAAAGAUAAUCAUCUCUACCGUGUUUAAAAACAGACGAUGAAACAAGAACUCAGAAGCCCAGGAGUCCCGCUGCAAAGGCUCACUCACAAGAAUGCCUGAUUUCUGGGAGAACUGACGACCAGGAUGGGCCAGGAGCAGCUGGGUGUGCCUGCUGUUUUAUGUGGAGGUGAGCAACUGCAUAGACAGCUCACCAGUCCAGAAGGACCCUCUUUAUACUGAUGCUGAAGUCAUAUCGUGGUUUGAAUGUGAAAUGUGCCCUAUCAAUCGACUCAAGGGUGUCAACACUCAGUCCCCAGCUGCUGAUCCUGUUUGGGAAGCUUGUGGAAUCUUUAUCAGAUGGAGCUUCAGUGGAGGAAGUUGGUCACUGGGGAUGGAUGGUCUCAUUACUCUUUACUCUCUGCUCCUUCACUGCUGGUGCACUGCUACCAUCCGGCCUCCUGCCUGCCUUCUCUAACUCAAGCCAUGUCCUCCCUGUCCUGAAGGAAUGAUCUCCAUCAACUGUAGGCCAGAAUAAACCUUUUCUUCCUUAAGUCGUGCUAGUCAGGUAUUUUUGUCACAACAAUAAGAAAAACAUCCGAGGUAAGUCCCAAUUCCCCAACACCCAAGAAUGUGACCGUGUAUGGGGACAAGGCCUUUAAAAUGUUAUAAAGAUGAGUUUUAUUAUUAAGUACCUCAAUCCAAUGACUCUCCAUUAUAAAAACAGCAGAUACACACAACAGAAUGGCUGUGGAGUGAUCGUGGUGGGAGGGGUAGCCAUCACAAAUGCUUUACAGAUUUUUUUUUUUUUUCCCUGAAUUGAGGCUCAUAAGGCUCUGAAAGCAAGCGGAGCCUACAAGACUCUGGAAGUCAACUGAACUUCAGAAGCUCGGAAGUUUAGAGAAUUCCCAGGGCUCCAUGUCAUAAAUAUAGUAAACAACGGCUGGGGAUUGCUAGGGAGACGAGACUCUUCAGUGGCUUUGACCUCCAGUUCAGUUCACUUCAGGGAUAUGGUUUUGUAAGCUGUCACUCAAGUUUGGAUGGCUUUCCAGUGUGAAGCUGCUUUUGAGAGGUCUAUGCUCCUGUAGUUAAACUGCAGUGAACUCACUGUCACCAAGCUAAUAGGUGGGGUUCUUUCUUUGAUCUGUUAUUGAUGGGCUAUCUAAGGGGAAUAGAGAUUUGUUCAUGUCUCCCCAGGAAAAGUCACAAAACAACUCUAGUGUAUUAAUUACUUUUAUAGCACUGUGACUAUUGUUAUGUGACAGAGGGUCUCAGUCGAUAGUGUUGGGGAGAAGACAGUGGAGUAGCUGAGAUCAUGUUGGCAGAGUAUGUGGUAGAGGCUUUUCACAUAACAGUGGGCCAGGAAGCAUGACAGGAAGUUGGCACGGAUAGCACACCCACAAUAACCUACCCCCUGUGACGACUCCUUCCAUGCAGGCCCAUCUUCCCAAGGCUCUGGGAAUCACCUGAAAUCACCCCAUCAGGGGAAAGAGGAGGCUGGGACAGACAUUUCAGAUUCAAACCAUAACACUAAGAAACAAAGCUUCAAACAAAACUAAUCCUCCUGGCACAAUAACUGUAGACUUGAAGCCUGCCAAGAAUAAAUCUAUGUUGGGUAAUACACUCAAUCUUUGGUAUUUUAUGAUGGCACCCAGAACAAGCCAAAGCACUUUGUGUUCAAGCAGAUUCAUUGUUAUUAGGCAGUCGAUUGCAUCCUGUGCCCUCCCCAAAUCUGUGUGUUAGAGUCUUGCGAGCAUCUUGUUUAGAGGACCUUAACAGAGUCAGUUCAGGUUAAGUGAUGUUCUAAGAGAGAUGCCCUAACAGAACAGGGACAUGAGGCUACUUCUUUUUGCCUCUGCCUUCUCUUUCUCCUUUCUCUUCUGUCUUCUCUUCCCCCUUCCUUCUCCCGGAAUUGCUCUCUCUCUCUCUCUCUCCCCCCCCUCCUCUUUCUCCUGUCCUUCCUCCUUCCCCUCCUCCAGAGCUUUGUCUCUCUUCCUACCUAGCCUCCUCGAGACCAAGUGAGGACACGGUGUUAAAAGUGCAUAUAAGACAGGAGGAGAAAUCGACUGAGAACCCUGCCCUGCAGGCUGCUGAUGCUUUAUUGUGAACUCAAGCAUCCAAAACUGAGAAAGCAUUUUGUGCUGCUUCAGCCCCUAGACUGUAGUAGGGCUGUACACCAGCGCUGUCAGGGCAACGUGCUUCCCAUGUACAUACUUAUUCUUUGUUUCCAGGUGGUUUCCAUAUGCAUCUCACAGAAAAUUAAACAUUUCAAAGUCCACAUUCUAAUGAAGAAAGAGAGGCCAUCAAUGAGAGCUUGGUACAGGUCCUGUUUGCUUUGGAUUGCCUUGUGUUAACUUUCUUUGGAUGUGAUUUCAAAAGCAGUCAUCUUAUACCCUCUGCUGAGGCAGUGUCUGGGAAAGACAAGGAGAGGGCUGAGCUCUGAUAAUUCUUCUGUCCAGCAUUUGGAUUUAAACUGUAACUGGAGACUCUGAAAUCACUAAGGCCCUUGACCUCCCCUUACUCUCCCCACCCCUAGCAUGAUCUCACAGGGGCAGCCUCUUGCUCUUCCUUUCAUGUUCCAGAAUGUGGCAAAGACCAUGAAAAUAAAAUGUUGACUCCUGAUGCAAGAGGCUCUGAGUUCAGACAGUCUAUCCUGGUCCUAGGGAAUGGAGCCAGAGUAGUAUUUCUUGCGUCUUCACCAAGACCUCUCUUUCUCUGCCACUAACUUUGCAUAAAGCAUCUAACACACUAAACACAUGGUUGCCUCAGAACACAGGUCAGGAGAACCUGAGCUUCUGUCUCUUUGGUGAUAUUGUGAUUAACAAAACUGAAAAAAAGGAAGGCCUCCUCAGCUACUUGCUUAGCCUCAAAAGGGGAGGUUUGAUUAGUAAGGAGAGGGUAAUUCCACCUUCUUGAUAGAAAGCAAAAAUGCAAAAACUUGAGUCCACUCUUUCAAAAAGGCUCAAAGCUGGUAUAAUUCUUGGACACUCAGUAAAAUAUAUGACCUAUUUUGGCAGAUAAAAUAGAAGCACCAAGUCAACACAUUUAAAACCAUAAAAUAGCUUUGUUUUCAUUUUUUUCACCCAGGCUAUUCUAAAACAUUAUGCAGCUCAAGCUGGCCCCAAACUCAUGGCAACACAUAGGACCCCCAUGGUAAGAUUGUAGAAGGGAGAAAAAGAGGCCUGGACACCUGGAGGGAGAGACUGGGACAUGAAUGUCUCUGUGAGGUACAGAGCCUGACUAUGUACAGCCUGGCUUAGCCUCUCAGAUGCUAGGAUUAGAGGCAGGAGCCAUCACAUCCAGCAUUAAUAAGUCAAUGCAAUUAGGUAUAGCAUUUUUCCCCCCAUCAGAGCUAGGGUUGAACCUGAGGUCUUACAAUUGUUAGACAACCUCUCUAAGCCUCUGAGUCCCAUCCCACACAAGUUCCUUUAUAUUCAUUCACAAAUGACAGUCGCCCAUUUUUCUACGGAGCUCCUGGAGGCAUGGAAGAGUGCACACAUUUAUACAACAAACAGAACAUUUGUAAAAUUUCACUGUAUGGAAGUCUAUAGACGGAUGCAAUAGCAACAAUAUGUUUCUAUGAUCUAUAUUUUAAACCAGUUUUUAAAUCCAAGCAAUGGAUAGCUAUGACACAUUGAAUUUUGAUAAUAACUUAAAUUUACAACUGUAACAUGAAACCAUCUUAUGUCACAACACCAUGCAAUAUUGCCAUGCCUGUCACUCUAAUACAUCUUCACAGGCAUUUUGAUGAAAUAUCACUUUUCUGAUGAAAUUUAAAUGAAUGCAUUAAAAAGCAGAUGUCAGUUUCCAUGAGAGCCAUUCAAUUAUAAGAUUUGGUGGUACUUUCUUUGAUUUUGUGAUACUGAUCUGAACACAUUAUAAUAGCAUCAAUGUGUUGGACCACUAACUCAGUCACUCUUAAGAAGAAAGGCUAUUGUGAGUGAUGACUAAACUGGAGCAUUGGAUAGGACAAUCCUGGCUGCCAACAGACAACCCAGAAUCAAGUUGUCUUCAGGAAAUGUAAUAUUGUGUGUCCAUCUAAGAGUAAAGAAUGCACAGUUAGGGAAGUCCCUCUAUCACCACAGACUCAUGGUUCUUUAAUCUCUCCCUCUACUUACCUAGCAUUAGCUUCACCAUGAGGCCAACUGUCCUCAUGGUUGCAAAUGGCUUCAGUGGCCCAGGGAGCAUCAUUUAGAUAAUGUCCAGAAUCAGGAAAAGGUCUUUCCUUUGUAUGGAAACCAUUACCAGACACAAUCCUGCCCUUGUUACUUCCUUAAGGAGCACUUUGUCACUGCUGAACUAGUGAGGAAUGUUAUUGGGGACUUAGAUCUCUUGGACUCUCUGGCUAUGGAGGCUGAGGCCAGCUUCCUAGUCUGGAAACUUGAACACAAUGUAGCUCUUAGGAAGGGAAGGAGAGAGAAAGAGAGAGAGAUGAGAGAGAGAGAGAGAGAAAGAGAGAGAGAGAGAGAGCACAAGUGAACUCUUAGGCUCUUAGUGGUCUGCUGUGGUCAUGGUGAGUUUGGAGAACAUAGAGGAUGAUGCAACAAAAUCCCCUCCAGACCCUUGGGGAGGGGCACAGAAAAGUGUAAACAAAAUACAAAAUAAAAUCUUAACAGAGUUGAUCAUUUGUAGCUAAUGAAUGUUGCAUGGGCUCAGAGGGGGAAUAGCCUGUAGGUAGAUGCUCCUGGGAAAAAAAUUAUACAAGAUGGAAACAAGAGGAAGAGUGAGCAUUUAAGUAAUUGUGGAACCAUGUCAGCUCUGCCCUUUCCCCGGGCUCUGGAUGUGCAGCCUUCCCUAAGUACACACUGUAAGAAUAGAUGCUGGCCUUUCAUUCUUGGAAUGCAUAAGAUCUGCCUAUGUUUCAAACCGUUCCUCAUGUCUUCAGCUCUAGGUUCUUUGACUCACACUUUCUCUAGUAAUGGAGAGUCUCCAGGGUUUCUCUAUAUCAGUAUGGACUGCUAACCUUCCAAGGACCAGUAAUCCACCUCCUGAGAUAGUACCAUCUCACUACUCUGCCUCAGUCCUUCCCCUUUCCCUUCCAGCUAUAGCCCAGACCCAAGGACUGUCCUAAGCCAGAGUAUAGGCCGAACCCCCACCACCCUGAUCAGUGAUGGUAAAGUCAACUCAGACCAUCUGCUCUCCACCCCUACAUCGACAGUGAGAACGAACAUCAUCUUAACUCUGUUACAGGUUAUCAUGAGAACUAAAGAGCUAAAGUAAUGGGAAUUGUUUAGGAAAUCACCUGGGAAACGAAAAUCAGUAAAAAUUAGCCGCAGUGAAAAUUAUUGGCUUUUAAAAAAUGUAUUUUAUAUGGCAAUAGCCAGUUACUGGGGUCACAUCAGCUUCCAGAAAUGUAUGAAGGAGUAUUUGAAAGCUUUGCCAGAAGAAAGUGGGCAGUGCUUGAUUAGUAAUGUCUGUCACAGGCCAGGUAAUGGGGAGACGGGUGCAGGAAAGAUACCUUUCCCAGACCAGUCCAACUUUCUCAUUUCUCAGAGUCAAGGCCCGUAGCUACGGAAUGUCAGGAGUUUGGCUUGAAACCACACACAUUUUUGUAAUCAGAUAUUCUGGGUGUCACUGGAAGCCCCGUUUGAUGGAUGAGUGUAGUGGGUUUGGCCAAAAAAAUGUAUUUUAUUUUAUGUGUACGCAGAAGUGCUUACAUGUGAGAGUCUGUGUGUGUAUGUGUGUGUGUGAGUGUGUGAGUGUGUGCCACAUGCAUUAGAUCCCCUGGAACUGGAGUUACAGGCAGUUAUGAGGGAAUCAAAUAUAGGUCUUUGAAAGAUCAGCAAGCAAGCGCUCUUAACCUCUGAGCCAUCUCUCUAAUCUCGAAUGUUCCUGAUUUUAUUCUCCUACUCAUCUAAAGGGCUUGGGAUUGAUUGUGAACGUAAGUGUGAAUAUUUUAACAAGGCAGCUUAGGCAGUAGACAUGAUAAUCUACAUUUUAAAUGACCAGAAAGUGAAAGAUUGGAGAGAAAGAAAGUAAACAGAAGACACCACAUUCAUUCAUUCUUUGCCAUCAAAGGAAGGAAAGGACUUACACAGUGGUGGAGGGCUGUAAUCACAGCACCGUGGAGUCUGAGAACACUCAGACAGGAAGAUCUCAAGUUCAGAGCUAACUCGGCUCCUGAGAUUUGGUAGCCCACGGGCGGGACUGGGGAAAUGUGUAAAGAGCGCUAAAGCUUCUGCUAUGCUGCUAGACUCGUGGAGAAGGCGUGAGCAUUCAUACUAGCAGUGGUUAUUUGGAACUUUACUGUUCAUAUUGCCUGACUUUUCUAGUUAAACUUUCCAUUAAUUUUUCAUAAGAAGUUACAUUCAUUUACUUUAUAUUAAAUCCUUUUCUUAUUCCAUGAUUAAAGUAAGUUCUACGUGAUCCCUGUGUCCUCGGCUUGCGGUGGUUGUCUGACUCCUGGGAAGAAAGACGGCUUUGGAAGCUGCAAAGGCUGCAGUUGUAUCCCGAGACAUCUUCCUUGGUGUGAAAUCACAAGUGCGCUGAGUUUGGGCAAACGCAAUUAGGCUUGGAAAUCCAAUUAAAGAAUAGAAGACA